rnacentral:lncRNA from 1 species
CAGGCUAGGGGUUCAAUCAAAGCUACAGCCGCCGGCCUACACCACAGCCACAGCAACGCCAGAUCCGAACCAUGUCUGCGGCCCACACCACAGCUCAUGGCAACACCGGAUCCCUAACCCACUGAGUGAGCAAGGCCGCGGAUCAAACCUGCAACCUCAUGGUUCCUAGUCGGAUUCAUUUCCGCUGCACUGGAACAGGAACUCCAAGAGGGCUUCAUCUUCAAGAAGGUACAAGCACAGGUUUCUGAUAAACUUCAGACAAUACUGCUGAAUUUGGUAAAAAAUUAUAAAAUCCUACUGCUUUGCUGUUGGCCUCAAAAAGCAGAUAGUAAAAGGCUUAGUUAUUGAGUAAACUGGUGACUAUGGCUAUAAUGUUUGGUUUAUUUCAUCUGGAAUAUUACUGGUUUUGAUCUGUGUUUUCCAGGAAUAGGGGAGGGCUUCCCCUCAAGCUAUUUAUGACCCAGAGCAAUUGGGCAAAUGACACCUCUGUGAAUAAAAUUGAAAUAUUUUUCUUUUCUCUCUGCUUGGUCCCUCUAGAAAUUGGAGACUCUCGGGUUCUGAGCAGGUGUAUCAGGUGAAUAGGAAAGGCUGCCUCCUGGCAUGUGUGUUGAUCUUGCAAUUUUGGGGACUUCCGGAAAGGAGAAACCCACUAAGGCAGGAUCUGAUGGCAGACCCUUGGCAUGGCUUUUCCUGGGCUUGAGAAGCCUUUCGCGCAUUUAGUCUGAGACUCCUGAGGACUUAUACCAGGGUUAAUGUGGAGGAGCCUGUGUGGUCAGUGGAGCAGACUUAUUUUGGAAACAAAUUAGACUUGGUUUGGUCGUGUUCAGUGGAGAUGGGGGUAAUUUUAGAGAAAAAGAUUUUGUUUCAGUAGAUGCGAAAUUCUAGUUCUGUCUAUUGAAGUCUGUAUCUAUGAAAGCUAUUGUGUUAGCCACACUUUUGCCCUGAUGUGCAGAAGGAAAAGAAAAUUUUCUAGUGGAAUUAUCCCAGAGUAGCUACUCAUGACAUAGCACUGCUUGCUUUAGGUCUCCUGCUAAAAGCACACGUACAAUACUUGUGUCACUAUUGGGUAUAAAUGGUAAAAAGGUAUGGCCUAUAAAGCAUUUGCUCAUUAACAUACCUCUGAGCUUCUUCAGGAUACUUCAUCAUCCCCCCCCCCCACCUCUCCUACCCACAACGUGGAUUAACUAGACAGUUAUAAAGGAGGAGUUCCUGUCAUGGCACAGUGGUUAACGAAUCCAACUAGGAACCAUGAGGUUGUGGGUUCAAUCCCUGACCUUGCUCAGCAGGUUAAGGAUCUGGCAUUGCCGUGAGCUGUGGCGUAGAUCGCAGAUGCGGCUCGAAUCCCACGUUGCUGUGGCCCUGGCAUAGGCUGGGAGGCUACAGCUCUGAUUGACCCCUAGCCUGGAUCUCUCCAUAUGCUGCAGGAGUGGCCCUAGAAAAGGC